AAGUUAGCGGCGGACGGGUGAGUAACACGUGGGUAACCUGCCCAUAAGACUGGGAUAACUCCGGGAAACCGGGGCUAAUACCGGAUAACAUUUUGAACCGCAUGGUUCGAAAUUGAAAGGUGGCUUCGGCUGCCACUUAUGGAUGGACCCGCGUCGCAUUAGCUAGUUGGUGAGGUAACGGCUCACCAAGGCAAUGAUGCGUAGCCGACCUGAGAGGGUGAUCGGCCACACUGGGACUGAGACACGGCCCAGACUCCUACGGGAGGCAGCAGUAGGGAAUCUUCCGCAAUGGACGAAAGUCUGACGGAGCAACGC
rnacentral:rRNA from 1 species